UACGUAGGGUGCAAGCGUUGUCCGGAAUUAUUGGGCGUAAAGCGCACGUAGGCGGCUUUCUAAGUCGGGGGUGAAAUCCUGGAGCUCAACCCCAGAACUGCCUUCGAUACUGGAAAGCUCGAGUCCGGGAGAGGUGAGUGGAACUGCGAGUGUAGAGGUGAAAUUCGUAGAUAUUCGCAAGAACACCAGUGGCGAAGGCGGCUCACUGGCCCGGUACUGACGCUGAGGUGCGAAAGCGUGGGGAGCAAACAGG
rnacentral:rRNA from 1 species